UGCGGAAUAGCUCAGCGGUAGAGCGUGGGGCUCAUAACCCCGAGGUCACCUGUUCGAUUCGGGUUUCCGCAACCA
rnacentral:tRNA from 1 species